rnacentral:rRNA from 1 species
AACGAACGCUGGCGGCGUGCCUAACACAUGCAAGUCGAGCGGGAAAGUUCCCUGCGGGGAGCGAGUACAGCGGCGCACGGGUGAGUAACACGUAGGUAACCUACCCUGGAGUCUGGGAUAACCUGCCGAAAGGCGGGCUAAUACCAGAUAAGACCACGAGGGCUGCGGCCCUUGGGGAAAAAGAUGGCCUCUGCUUGCAAGCUAUCACUCUGGGAUGGGCCUGCGCGCCAUAGCUAGUUGGUGAGGUAACGGCUCACCAAGGCAGAGAUGGCUAGCUGGUCUGAGAGGAUGGCCAGCCACACUGGGACUGAGACACGGCCCAGACUCCUACGGGAGGCAGCAGUGGGGAAUAUUGCGCAAUGGGCGAAAGCCUGACGCAGCGACGCCGCGUGGGUGAUGAAGGCCU